UACGUAGGGGGCUAGCGUUGUCCGGAAUCAUUGGGCGUAAAGAGCGUGUAGGCGGUCCGGUAAGUCCGCUGUGAAAGUCGGGGGGCUCAACCCUCGAAUGCCGGUGGAUACUGUCGGGCUAGAGUGCGGAAGAGGCGAGUGGAAUUCCUGGUGUAGCGGUGAAAUGCGUAGAUAUCGGGAGGAACACCUGAGGCGAAGGCGGGCUACUGGGCCGAUACUGACGCUGAUGCGCGAAAGCCAGGGGAGU
rnacentral:rRNA from 1 species